rnacentral:sRNA from 1 species
GCCAGGUGCUAUGGCACACGCCUGUAAUCCCAGCAGCUUGGGAGGCUAAGGCAGGAGGAUCACAAGUUCAAAGCCAGCCUCAGGCACUCAGCAACUCUGUGAGACCCUGUCUCAA